CCUACGGGUGGCAGCAGUGAGGAAUAUUGGUCAAUGGCCGGGAGGCUGAACCAGCCAAGUCGCGUGAGGGAAGACGGCCCUACGGGUUGUAAACCUCUUUUGUCAGGGAGCAAGGUGCAGGUCGGGACCUGCUGUGAGAGUACCUGAAGAAAAAGCAUCGGCUAACUCCGUGCCAGCAGCCGCGGUAAUACGGAGGAUGCGAGCGUUAUCCGGAUUUAUUGGGUUUAAAGGGUGCGCAGGCGGAUUGAUAAGUUAGAGGUGAAAUGUCCGAGCUUAACUCGGGAACUGCCUCUAAUACUGUUGAUCUAGAGAGUAGAUGCGGUAGGCGGAAUGUAUGGUGUAGCGGUGAAAUGCUUAGAGAUCAUACAGAACACCGAUUGCGAAGGCAGCUUACUAAACUGCCACUGACAUUGAUGCUCGAAAGUGUGGGUAUCAAACAGGAUUAGAUACCCCAGUAGUC
rnacentral:rRNA from 1 species